rnacentral:tRNA from 1 species
GCCCUGAUAGUCUAAUGGUAUGAUAAUCAUGCACUAAUGUUAUGAUUGGUCCAGGUUCGAUUCCUGGUCAGGGCA